rnacentral:rRNA from 1 species
GCGGAGGAAAAGAAACUAACAAGGAUUCCCCUAGUAACGGCGAGUGAAGAGGGAAGAGCCCAAGAUUGAAAGCUGGCGUCUUCGGCGUCCGCAUUGUAAUCUCAAGAAGUGUUUUCCGCUUCGGACCAUGCCUAAGUCCCUUGGAAAAGGGCAUCAUAGAGGGUGAUAAUCCCGUACAUGGCAUGGAGCGCCCGAAGCUUUGUGAUACGCUUUCUAAGAGUCGAGUUGUUUGGGAAUGCAGCUCAAAAUGGGUGGUAAAUGCCAUCUAAGGCUAAAUAUUGGGGAGAGACCGAUAGCGAACAAGUACAGUGAUGGAAAGAUGAAAAGAACUUUGAAAAGAGAGUUAAACAGUACGUGAAAUUGCCAAAAGGGAAGGGUAGGAGGUCAGAGAUGCGGCCUGGGAUUCAGCCUUGCUUUUGCUUGGUGUUUUUCCCAGAUUGCAGGCCAACGUCGGUUUUGGGCACUGGAGAAGGGUAGGAGGAACGUGGCACCUCUCGGGGUGUGUUAUAGCCUCCUACUGGAUACAGCGACCGAGACCGAGGACAGCAGCGUACUCGCAAGAGCGGGCCUUCGGGCACCUUUACGCUUAGGGCGUUGGCAUAAUGGCCCUCUACCACCCGUCUUGAACACCGGA